AUUGCCUCAGUAACGGCGAGUGAAGCGGCAAGAGCUCAAAUUUGAAAUCUGGCUCCUUCGGGGCCCGAGUUGUAAUUUGGAGAGGAUGCUUCGGGCGUGGCCCCUGUCUAAGUGCCCUGGAACGGGCCGUCAUAGAGGGUGAGAAUCCCGUCUGGGAUGGGUGGUCCCGCCCGUGUGAAGCUCCUUCGAAGAGUCGAGUUGUUUGGGAAUGCAGCUCUAAGAGGGUGGUAAAUUUCAUCUAAAGCUAAAUAUUGGCCGGAGACCGAUAGCGCACAAGUAGAGUGAUCGAAAGAUGAAAAGCACUUUGAAAAGAGAGUUAAACAGCACGUGAAAUUGUUGAAAGGGAAGCAUUGGCAACCAGACUCGCCCGGGAGGGCUCAGCCGGCACGUGUGCCGGUGCACUCCCCCCCGGGCGGGCCAGCGUCGGUUUGGGCGGUCGGUCAAAGGUCCCGGGAAUGUAGCACCCUCCGGGGUGCCUUAUAGCCCGAGGCGCCAUGCGACCUGCCCGGACCGAGGAACGCGCUUCGGCUCGGACGCUGGCGUAAUGGUUGUCAAUGGCCCGUCUUGAAACACGGACCAAGGAGUCUAACAUCUAUGCGAGUGUUCGGGUGUCAAACCCGUCCGCGCAGUGAAAGCGAACGGAGGUGGGAACCCCUCUCGGGGUGCACCAUCGACCGAUCCUGAUGUCUUCGGAUGGAUUUGAGUAAGAGCAUAGCUGUUGGGACCCGAAAGAUGGUGAACUAUGCCUGAAUAGGGCGAAGCCAGAGGAAACUCUGGUGGAGGCUCGCAGCGGUUCUGACGUGCAAAUCGAUCGUCAAAUUUGGGUAUAGGGGCGAAAGACUAAUCGAACCAUCUGGUAGCUGGUUCCUGCCGAAGU
rnacentral:rRNA from 1 species